UGUGUCUACUGAAAACCCAAAUGUUAUGAUCUCUGUGUUAUAUGAGAUACUAUCCCUAAAGUAAAACUAGCUUUAGGGAAGUGGGGAUACUUGCUUUAAAUCAGUAGUACUUUUCACAUUGCCACUUUUAUAAUCUUACCUGUGGGGCAAUAUGGGCUUAUUUAUAUAGUUUUGCAGUGACAGGCUGAUUAACAGGAGCUUCUUCUUAAAAGUCCUUUUCUGUACAGUUUUUGUAUUUAACCUGUGCUGUAGAAACUUGAGCAUGCAGUUCACGGAGGUCUGCAUUGUUAGCCAAAAUGUUAGCAGUCAGUAUCUACUUGGAUAAAUAAUCUGCUGCGCAUAUUUUAACUUCAGGAAGCCAAAACUCCAGAUGGCUCCUCUGGCACCCAGGAUAUAUGGUGGCACCUGAAUGGACUCUCUUUUAGGGGGUAGGAGCAAAUUCCGUGGUACUGCUGGGACCUAUGAUACUGGUGAUGCUUUGAUCUCUCACUCUUCUUGUGUGUUAUGGCUGAGGCUUGACAAGCACGAAGUAGUUUCUCACAACAGUUAUAACUCAUUUUGUCAGCACAAGGAGCCCAGCACUCGGUAUCCUUCUUCCCUCCCUUGGCUGACUGCAUGCCUGGAAGCAGGAGCGCUUAAGUCAAAGUCUGAGGCAGACAACAUGGAAAAUCAAGAGGAAAAAGAAGUCAUGCUCAAGUUCUCGAGUUCAGCACUGACCUUCUGAGGGAUUGAACAUUCAUGGCAAUCUCUCACGUGAAAUGCGAAGCAGAAAUGUCUUCCUGCCAUUCAAAGAGUAGGAGGGAUUGCUUCCAUCCUUUCCCUUUCAUUCAGCAUUUAUUCUGAAACCUAAUGAUGGCAGCCGGGGAUGGGGGUUGAGUUCUUUUUCUGAAGCACCCUUUGGUAGAGCCUGUCAAUCCCAGUGAUCUGUUGAGGAUGCACAGAAAGUUUGUCUCACCAUCUUAGAGUUGUGAAUAUGAUGUUUUUAACAUUCAUCGUUGCCUGCUCUUCUCCUGGUUACUUUAGAGGAUGCAGCUAGGAAAAAAAAAGCUUUAUUUGUCCAACUGAAUUCUACAGAAUGCCUGUUAGAUCUUUCUGUGUCUGCUGUGGGGCUCCUGGCAUGUCUUGAGGGAGUUUUAGGUUUUAAGGAUGGGAAGGGUUGUUGCAAUCCUCUGGUCUGAUCUCCUGCAUAAUGCAACCCAUAAAAAAACACUGGAGCUCUUUUGUACCUGAUGCGUUUGGCUUAUUAAAACUCAUGUUCCAAAGAAUCCACUUGACCCAGUGAUGCGGAUCUGCCAGUAUAACUAUUUGUACCUCUAUUAUUUACCACUACAGUAUGUUUUUUCAAUCAGCUUUAAUGGAAACAAUUUUUUUUCUUUUAUUUUCUCCAGAUAAUUGCUAAGGUUAGUGAGCAGCACUGGGCUAAGACAAGUCUUCUGUGGGAUCCCAUUAGACAUCUUCCGAAGAUGGGGAUGAUUCAGUUAGGAUUGCCUUUUUGAGCUCUGUUGGCUCACCAUCUUUUAAUCGAUUUAGUAUGAGGUACAUUCGUUCUGGGUAGCGCUAAUUAUUUUAAUCAGAGU